AUUUCAGUUCAGAAUCGAAACGCGAGCCGAGUCGCAAGUUGGCCGCCGCGCAGCGCGUGCUGUUUUUUUUCAGUGUGUACGUUUUGAUUGCAAAAAGAAAUAAGCAAAAGCGACGCUGAAAACAUUUUUCAUCUGCGGCCUGGAAAAGCGCCCCGAGGAAAAUGAAUAGAUAAAUUGUGUUAAUCGCCCCAUCGAGCCAGCAAAUAUUCACUGUAUAUUUAUAUUUUCUCGUGCGUACUUUUUUUUUGGUUGCCCGUGGGCAUCGCUCUUUUGUUGUUAAUUGUGCAGCUGCCCGCCUGCGAAUGAUAAAAAUGUCAUAGACGACGUGUCCCCCGCCCCCCAUAAAACCCCACCCAAAAGCGUCGGACGACUGCGUCGCCUCCACAUCAUCCAGCCAUGACCAGCGGCAAUCGAUGAUUGCCAUUCCCUCAGCCAACGAGAGCCAAUAGAGGCAGCCGGAAGAACCCGCCAUUCGAACACAUCAAAAGCCGGAGGAGGAGGAGCUGGAGGAGGGACUUCCCCCUUUUGAAAGCCAAGGACUAAAGUCACGCGGUCAACAUGCUGAUCAAGGAGUACCGCAUUCCCCUGCCCCUCACCGUGGAGGAGUACCGCAUCGCCCAGCUCUACAUGAUAGCGAAAAAAAGUCGCGAGGAGAGUCAUGGCGAGGGCAGUGGGGUCGAGAUAAUCAUCAAUGAGCCCUAUAAGGACGGACCCGGCGGCAAUGGUCAGUACACGAAGAAGAUCUACCAUGUGGGCAACCAUCUGCCCGGCUGGAUCAAAAGUCUCUUGCCCAAGAGCGCUUUAACCGUGGAGGAGGAGGCGUGGAACGCCUAUCCCUAUACCAGAACUCGCUACACCUGCCCAUUUGUGGAGAAGUUCUCGCUGGACAUUGAGACAUACUAUUAUCCCGACAAUGGCUAUCAGGAUAAUGUCUUCCAGUUGUCCGGAAGCGAUCUGCGUAACCGCAUCGUGGAUGUGAUUGACAUUGUGAAGGACCAACUGUGGGGCGGCGACUAUGUGAAGGAGGAGGAUCCGAAGCACUUUGUGUCGGACAAGACGGGCCGUGGACCCCUAGGCGAGGAUUGGCUGGAGGAGUAUUGGCGCGAGGUGAAGGGCAAGAAGCAGCCGACGCCACGCAACAUGUCCCUGAUGACCGCCUACAAGAUCUGCCGCGUGGAGUUUCGCUACUGGGGCAUGCAGACGAAGCUGGAGAAGUUCAUCCAUGAUGUGGCGCUGCGCAAGAUGAUGCUGCGCGCCCACCGGCAGGCGUGGGCGUGGCAGGACGAAUGGUUCGGGCUAACCAUCGAGGAUAUCCGCGAGCUGGAGCGACAGACCCAACUGGCCCUGGCCAAGAAAAUGGGCGGCGGCGAGGAGUGCAGCGAUGACAGCACAUCCGAGCCCUAUGUGAGCACGGUGGCCACCGGCGCCUCCGCAACGGGCAGCGAACGAAAGAAAUCCGCUCCAGCCAUACCGCCCAUCGUCACCCAGCAGCCGCCGAGCGCCGAGGCAAGUUCGGAUGAGGAGGGCGAGGAGGAGGACGACGACGAGGACGAGAACGAUGCCAUUGGCACGGGCGUUGAUCUGUCCGCCAACCAAGGUGGAUCCGCCCAACGAUCCCGCUCCCAGAGCAUCCAGAUGGCCCAGAAGGCCAAGUUCGGUUCCAAGGGCGCCCUCCACUCACCGGUGGGAUCGGCCCACAGCUUUGAUCUUCAGUCCAAAAAGCCGCAUGCAAAGACAGCGCCACGCAGACAUGUGGCAAACUGGCGCAUGGAGCGAUUGGAAGUAGACUCCAAAUCCAAUUCGGAUGAAGAAUUCUUCGAUUGUUUGGAUACCAAUGAGACGAACUCGCUGGCCAAGUGGAGCUCCCUGGAACUGCUGGGCGAGGGCGACGACAGUCCGCCGCCACAUGGCGGUCCCUCCAGCGCCGCAUCCGUGGGUGGGCGUGGCAAUUCCCGGCAGGAGGACAGCAUCUUUAACCAGGACUUUCUGAUGCGCGUGGCCUCGGAGCGCGGUAACAAGCGGCAACUGCGCUCCUCGGCCAGCGUGGAUCGCAGCCACGAUUCCUCGCCACCGGGAUCACCGAGCACACCGUCAUGCCCCACCACCAUCUUGAUCCUGGUGGUCCAUGCGGGCAGUGUGUUGGAUGCGGCCAGCGAGCUGACGGCCAAGAAAUCGGAUGUGACCACAUUCCGCGGCUCCUUCGAGGCGGUGAUGCGCCAGCACUAUCCCAGCCUCCUCACCCAUGUGACCAUCAAGAUGGUGCCGUGUCCCUCGAUUUGCACCGACGCCCUGGGCAUUCUUUCCAGCCUGAGUCCGUACUCCUUCGAUGCAUCGCCCUCGGCGGCGGAUAUACCGAAUAUAGCCGAUGUCCCAAUUGGAGCAAUACCCCUGCUAUCCGUAGCAUCGCCGGAAUUCCAUGAGACGGUCAACAAGACGGUGGCUGCUGCCAAUAUUGUCUACCAUGAGUUCUUGAAAUCGGAGGAGGGUCACGGAUUCUCCGGACAGAUUGUGAUGCUGGGCGAUUCGAUGGGUUCGCUGCUGGCCUACGAGGCUCUGUGCCGAUCCAAUGGCAGCCAGCCGGGCACGGCAUCGGGUGCCUCGAAUUCUGGCGGAGAUGCGGCCAGCAAUAUAAAUACCCACAAUCCGUUGGGCCCACGCCAUUCGCGCUUGGACGAUGACGAGCGUUUCAUCGAGGCCGAUUUGGAUGCAAAGCGCUUGCUGGUGGCUCCAUCGCCACGUCGACGUCGUUCCAGCUCGUCGAGCGAUUCGCGGGCCUGCAAACUGGACUUUGAGGUCUGUGAUUUCUUCAUGUUCGGAUCGCCGCUGUCGGUGGUGUUAGCUGCCCGGAAACUUCACGAUGCCAAGGCCGCUUUGGCCAGGCCCAACUGCCAUCAGGUGUACAAUCUGUUCCAUCCAACCGAUCCGAUUGCCUCGCGUUUGGAGCCGCUCCUUAGCGCCCGAUUCUCCAUUCUGUCGCCGGUUAAUGUCCCCCGGUACGCCAAGUAUCCGCUGGGAAAUGGUCAGCCAUUGCAUUUAUUGGAGGUGAUUCAGUCGCAUCCGCAGCACUUUAACGAUGGCAACAACCUGUUGGCAGGUCGCCGAUUGUCGGAUGCCUCGAUGCAGAGCACGAUAUCGGGUCUGAUUGAGAAUGUCUCGCUUAGUACGAUCCAUGCCCUUCAAAACAAAUGGUGGGGCACCAAGCGCUUGGACUACGCUCUAUAUUGCCCGGAGGGAUUGAGCAACUUUCCCGCUCACGCCUUGCCGCACCUUUUCCACGCCAGCUAUUGGGAGAGUCCGGAUGUGAUUGCCUUCAUCCUGCGGCAAAUUGGCAAAUUCGAGGGCAUACCCUUUGUGGGCUCCAACGAUGACAAGGACAAUGCCUCCUUCCAUCCGGGACAGCCGAGGGAGAAGUGGAUCAAGAAGCGUACGUCGGUGAAGCUGAAAAAUGUGGCCGCCAAUCAUCGGGCCAACGAUGUGAUCGUCCAGGAGGGCAGGGAGCAGCGUCUGAAUGCCCGAUUCAUGUACGGACCCCUCGAUAUGAUCACGCUGCACGGCGAGAAGGUUGAUGUGCACAUUAUGAAGGAUCCGCCGGCGGGCGAGUGGACAUUCCUCAGCACCGAGGUGACGGACAAAAACGGUCGCAUCUCGUACAGCAUUCCGGAUCAGGUCUCCCUGGGCUAUGGCAUUUAUCCCGUGAAGAUGGUGGUCCGUGGCGAUCACACCUCAGUGGAUUGCUAUAUGGCGGUGGUGCCGCCAUUGACCGAAUGUGUGGUCUUUAGCAUUGAUGGAUCCUUCACCGCAUCGAUGUCGGUGACGGGCAGGGAUCCCAAGGUACGAGCGGGAGCCGUCGAUGUCUGCCGCCACUGGCAGGAGCUGGGCUACCUGCUCAUCUACAUCACCGGGCGGCCGGAUAUGCAGCAGCAGCGCGUGGUGUCCUGGCUGAGCCAGCACAACUUCCCGCACGGCCUGAUCUCGUUCGCCGACGGCCUGUCCACCGAUCCACUGGGCCACAAGACGGCCUAUCUCAACAAUCUGGUGCAGAACCAUGGAAUCUCAAUUACCGCCGCCUACGGCAGCAGCAAGGAUAUAAGUGUCUACACGAAUGUGGGCAUGCGAACCGAUCAGAUCUUCAUCGUGGGCAAGGUUGGCAAGAAACUGCAGUCCAAUGCCACUGUGCUGAGCGAUGGCUAUGCCGCCCAUUUGGCCGGAUUGCAGGCGGUGGGCGGUUCGCGCCCGGCAAAGGGCAAUGCCCGCAUGGUCAUCCCCCGCGGAUGCUUCAAUCUUCCCGGCCAGACGGCGAAUCCGCGGCGCAGAAGGCUGCAUGAACAAGCAACGAAUGAAAAUUAAAUUGCAACUUAAACAAACAAUAAUAAAUUGUUUAGAACAAUAAAAGCAAACAAUAAAAGCAUCUUGUAAACAGAUAGAAGCGAAAAAAAACCAAAACAAUAUACAUACAAUUGAUGUUAGUUUUAGUGUUCUAGAAUAUUACCCAUACUCCCCACACACAUUUUUGAGUUCUUUUGUUAAGUAUUUUGAAGCAUACCUAGCUGAGCAUUUUACUGAUUGAUUGAUUGAUUGGUGUUGUGAAAAAAGAAACCAAAUUGAUAAAAACCUUUAAAAAACACCCCAGAGGUGAUAAAAAGUCGAUAAUUAUCGAUCUUAGAAAGUUCUCCACUGUAAACCACACUUAGAGGCCCAAACUUCAACUCUUUCUCAACAUUAACUCUGUCUCUCUUUUUCCAAAAACCAAAACUUGCUUGAAAAACAAAAAUAUAAAACAAACAACACCCACACACACACAUACCACACACGCACACACUGCCAUCGACCUGGUUAUCGACCUUGCUAUCGAUAAACAGCAACGAGACGGGACUAUCAUCACCCAUACGCAGUGGUUACCUGAAGCGCAAAACCUACCUGAGCCACCACUAGAGCCACAGAGAUGCAGCUACCACCCAUAUAGAUUGAUCCAUCAGACAGAAUGAAAUCAAAUCAAAUCCCCCAGUACCCAAAAAUAGCACUCCCUUCGAAAUAGAAUACAAAAAUAUAGCCAAAGGACGACGAACAUCGAUGCCUCCAUAUGCUACAUCUGUGUAUAUACCAUAUAUAUAUAUAUAUAUAUUUAUAUACUAUGCGCGAUAUAUUGAAAGUUCAAUGGUGUAAUAUACAUAUAUAUCAAAAACCAAAAUUGCAAAAGAGAAAAAACAAUUGUACAACAUUUAACCAAAGUCAAAUGUGUCACGCGGUACCUGGAAAGAAAGACUGUUUCCUCCUGUUGUUUGAUGGUAUUUCAAACCACUUAAAGCAUAAAAGAACAUUGAAAACUACACGAAACAAAAGCCGAUUGUAAAGCUAUAUACUAAACACAAUUAAAAAAAAGAUAUAUACAAAGGAUAUAUUCAAAAUAUAGAACCGUUUAACAUAUGCAAGCGAACCAAGUUCAACAAACCACGUGAGGUACAACAACCGAAGGACAAACUAAUGGAACCGAAGAUCUCCCGAUGAGUAAGGAUACAACUAAGACAAGGACGGGCGUUGCAAAAUCAAAAGGCAAAUUAAAUGCAUUUCUUGACAAACAACCACUACAAAAAGUAUAAAUUAAACGGCUUCCGUAAACCAAAAAAAAAAACAAUUAAAAUUUAUAUCUAUAUGUAUGCGUGUAAAAUUGACAAAAAAAGACGGUUCUUAAGAAACUAAAAUCUUCAUGAAAUUGAAUACAAUCUAUUACCUGGCCCCAGAAAUUUGAAAUCUCCAUAAUUGUGAUAGUCAUUCGCUACCAAAUGUUAAUUUAAA